GUGCCGAAACCAUGCUCUUAGGUGCUGUUUCAAAUUAACGCUUGGAGUAACCAUGUAUUCCUGGUGUACCAGUUACUUAAACUUAAGUCUGCCUGAAUCUUGUAAUAAGACUUUGUGUUGCUGAGUGUUAGGUCAGCAUGGGAUUCCAAAGCCAAGCAGAAUUACUUGACAGAAUGGCCCUUGCAUAGAUUCAUAUCCUGGUUUUGAGCUCUUCUCUGAUUCACACAUUAAACACAAAUAGUUGCAUCCUGUCUUGCCUACUGUAAUCACACAGAAACAUGAGUUUCAAUGCCAGCGGACAUAUAUUUAAAGCUUGCAUUGGAAAUUUAUUUCUGCACUUCACCUGGGAAACAAAAAAAGCCAUAAAGAGAAAUAAAGACCUUUAUAACAUUUGAUGAAGAUUCACAGAAGCCACAAAGGAACAAGUACUGCACAAAAGCUAUAGAGGCAAUGCAAGUUCUCGGCAUGCAAACAAGCUCUGAUGCAAGUCUUCACGGCCAGGAGCUGCUCCUAAAUUCAAUGGAAACCUUCCUGGGCUGGGCUGCUCUGCCAGGGAGAAUUGAGCAGCACUACCAGGGCCUGAAGAGAGUUGAUAGAGAUGCCUGUAUGUUCACGGAUGUCAUAGAUAUCACCCUCCAAGUGAUUCUUUUGUACUAUAUAUUCACCUGUGACUUUCUGCAGAUGACCAGGAAGGACUUCAAAGGCCUUCUAUGAAGAUGACUAUCUGAAAUGCAUCCAUCUAGACUUGGCUUCUUUCUAUUCAUUAUGCCUUCUGCUAGGCAGCUUCACCCCACCAGGUAAACCUCACGUGUCUUCCUUCUGUGUCCUUCCAUCGUUACCAUCACCAGACACUUCCAGGUACACUGUAACAAAUUAGACAGCACCAUAUCCAGGAACAAUUACUCAUAACCAAGGGUUACUCUGGCGAAGCUGCUUUUCCAUUGUCAGCUAUGAAGGUAUUUUCUCAGUGUAUAAAAGUGUCAUACAAGGUCAGGGCCUCGCUGGUGUCUGGGUUUACCAAACCCAAUGUCUUUGAGAGAUUUUGACUGUGCCCAAAAUAGAAGACAAAGGCACUGUGGCAAUUGAUCCAACACCCAUCUGUUCAGAGCCAGUGAUUUGAAACUCCUUGUUCACUUUCUCCCAAAAUUUGAGGAAGGCUGGAAGUGACUUUGUGCUCAUUUCUGUUGAAAACAAGGAAUUGAGGAAUGUGUUGGCACAAGGGAAGGUUUCACAUAUUCACAGUAGCCCUCAGUAAAAUGCAAGUUUUCUGUAAGAUAGUCCUUAUUCUGAUUUAUUAGUUCACAAAUCUAUCUGAAAAGUGAUCAGAAAGUAUAUUGGAAAAGAUAUUAGCUAAGUUACCAGAGUUUUCACUAUUCCAAAGCAUAUUUAAACUCCUCUAUUUCCAACUCAAAAGGCUGUGCUGUGCUGCCCCACCAGGCUUCAGGUGUUGGGUGGAGAUAUUCGUUCAUUAAGGAACAAAAGCAUGGGAAAAGAUUACCUCUGGAUUUCAUUUGGUGUUACGUGGAGAUUUUUGGCUUCUUCCUCUCCCCGGAGGCACAGACCCAGGGAAAACAAUGUCCAGGAAAGGAAAACAAGGAAGAAAGCACAGAGAAUUACUUAGCUAAUGAAGAGGAAUGGCUGACUUGUCCUGCAAGAGGGCAGUUAGCAGGGACACAUCCCCUCUGGGCUCACCCAGUGAAGAACAGACACCAACACAGACCACUAAAAGGUGAGCAUCGGUGGAGUGACGCUGCAGUUUCUCCAGCUGUGUUUUGUGAGCAUAAUCGAGAUUUCUGUAGUGCCAGUGCUCACAAAACAUCAAAUGGCUCUGACUAUCCAUCUGGAACCGAAACCAUUACAUCCUCCCUGUAUGGCUCUUAGGGGCAGCACAGAACUCAGGACGCAGAUUUGUAUGAUAUAGCGAGGAGAACCAAUCAGAAAAAUGAUGUUAGUGCCGCAUCCUGUCUGAUAAAAGAGCCCAGCAAACAUCCAAAGCACCAUGAUGGUACCGCUGUCUGUCCUCCCUCCCUCCCCACUUCCCUGUCCAUCCUUUCCUAUCCUGACAUUUUGAGACAAGGCACCAAAUGAUUCCUUUUCAAAUGUUACUUUUUCUCCCUGAAUUAUUAUGUUUUUACAGUACGGCAAUUUUAUAAUUAAGAUUAAAUACUUUGUGCAAUUGUUUUGGCUUUUUUUUCCCCCUCUCAAACAAAAUGGAACCAAGGUUCAAAUCCAGAAAUGUUGUGAAAGGGGAUUUCUAUUCUCCGUGUAGAUGAAUGUAACUAUGAUCAGAGGAAAUAAAACUUAGAGCAAAAAUGCUCUGGAUACAUUGAGGUAGAUUUUUCACCAUAAAUCAUUUGCAUAAAUAAAGGUAAGUUGAUUGUAAUCACUUCAGUAUUUCCUGUAGCUGAAGUUUUACUCUAUUUGUCUUUAUUUCUGCUGUAGUUUCAUCAGCACAAAAAAAUCAAGGAAGCAGUAAUAAAGAAAAAAACAGCACAAAAAAUACCCACAAAAAAAAAGAGCAACAGUAGAUCCAGCCGCUUAGCAGUGGGUGCUUUAUUUUCUCCAUAAUAUUUUCAGAGUGUUUGGGGGAGUAAUUUCAAACAGUCAAGUCAGAGUCCAUUGAGAAUUGAUUUUUGUGACCUCACAUAGUGUAACAGAAAAUUAUAACAGGAAAUAAACCAUUAAGUGAUAAACAAGGAAACAUGGAUACAAUUACUUUCAGAACAUAAUUUUAUUCACUCUAGUUUUGAAAAUGAAGAGAUAGUACUGACUGGAACACCUCAAUUCUGAAUGCAAACUGUACAAUCUAUUAUAUUAAACAAAGUCAAAAGCAAUGUGAAAGAUCUUGAAUCUAUUCAAGGCAUGCACCUCAUUACAGACUUAGCAAAUUAAAACACAAAUAGGAUUAGAAAAGAAUAAUGUAACAAUCUCCCACCAUGGUCCCUGGAGCAUUAAGUCAUAAAUUGGGUUUGCAUUAAAUUGUGCCUGCAGUAUUGAAUUCAGGGAAAGAGCUAUAGGCUGAAGAUAAACCUCGCUAGGCUGGCCAACUUUGGUAUGGCUGUGUGAUUUCAUAAAAACACAAUGAAUCUGUUGGAAUCUAAAAAGGCACAUUCAACAACAUGUAUUUCAUAUCUUAAUUAGAAAACGCAGAUAUGGGGUAGCAAUCUCUGGCUGCAAGAGGUAUAAACCCAGCCAAAAGCUGCAGACAUUUGAAACUGUCACUUCACCUGGAGGUGUUGUUUAAAUAAGGUAAUUCAGCACUUCGUGGCAUCACCUGCUGUGUUAAACUACACAAGUUUCCUGCUUUGCACAAAGCUCUAGUGUGCCCUGAGCUUCUUUUAGCUGGAAGAAACAAUCUUACCCCAAAAGAGCUGAGAGAAGCUGAGUUUCUGAUACAAAUGCAUUCUGUUGUUAUGGGAACUAAAAUGGUGAGCGAUGUGAAAAGGAUCCCUCGCUAACAAAGACCGGCUUGAUGAUAUUAUGGCAGCAGCUAUGCAAAAAGCAAAUAUAUCUGCAAGAAACAAACAGAGCUUCUCCAAAGAAGACGCAGGUUCCUG
ensembl:lncRNA